rnacentral:rRNA from 1 species
AGCGAACGCUGGCGGCAGGCUUAACACAUGCAAGUCGAGCGGGCAUCUUCGGGUGUCAGCGGCGGACGGGUGAGUAACGCGUGGGAACGUGCCUUCUGGUUCGGAAUAACUCAGGGAAACUUGAGCUAAUACCGGAUACGCCCUUUUGGGGAAAGGUUUACUGCCGGAAGAUCGGCCCGCGUCUGAUUAGCUAGUUGGUGGGGUAACGGCCUACCAAGGCGACGAUCAGUAGCUGGUCUGAGAGGAUGAUCAGCCACACUGGGACUGAGACACGGCCCAGACUCCUACGGGAGGCAGCAGUGGGGGAUAUUGGACAAUGGGCGCAAGCUUGAUCCAGCCAUGCCGCGUGAGUGAUGAAGGCCUUAGGGUUGUAAAGCUCUUUUAUCCAGGACGAUAAUGACGGUACCGGAGGAAUAAGCCCCGGCUAACUUCGUGCCAGCCGCCGCGGUAA